GGUUUCGCGUAGCGAAAGCGAAUGCUUUGGGGUGGGUGUGACUGCGUACCUUUUGUAUAAUGGGUCAGCGACUUAUAUUCUGUAGCAAGGUUAACCGAAUAGGGGAGCCGGAGGGAAACCGAGUCUUAACCGGGCGUUAAGUUGCAGGGUAUAGACCCGAAACCCGGUGAUCUAGCCAUGGGCAGGUUGAAGGUUGGGUAACACUAACUGGAGGACCGAACCGACUAAUGUUGAAAAAUUAGCGGAUGACCUGUGGCUGGGGGUGAAAGGCCAAUCAAACCGGGAGAUAGCUGGUUCUCCCCGAAAGCUAUUUAGGUAGCGCCUCGUGAAUUCAUCUCCGGGGGUAGAGCACUGUUUCGGCUAGGGGGCCAUCCCGGCUUACCAACCCGAUGCAAACUGCGAAUACCGGAGAAUGUUA
rnacentral:rRNA from 1 species